rnacentral:lncRNA from 1 species
UACACCACAGCUCACAGCAACAAUGGAUGCUUAACCCACUGAGCAAGGCCAGGGACCGAAUUGGAGUCCUCAUGGAUGCUAGUUGGUUUAUUAACCGCUGAGCUGCAAUGGGAACUCUACCCCACAAGCUUUAAAACGGCCCAUAUGGUGGGCCUUCAGCAACAGACCCAACACACACGGUCACCCAGAGGGUGGGGACCAGCCCCAUGCAAGUCAUCAACCAGCGCCGCCUACAGAACAAACCCCUGUACCACAUGUUUGUCCCUAAGACUACUGUAAAACCAAAGGGGACCCCUGGGCACCUGGCAGGGUCAUGGGGAGGAACCCCACCCAUGCAUGGGGAUGGACCAAGUGGACUCUAGCCUCCCAAGGCAGGGCAAUGACACCUCAUCACAGAGGAAGUGGAGAAGGUCACCCAUCACUAUCACUAUUCUAGUCCAGGAGGUCAGAUCCACAAUGCGGAAGUUCCCAAGAGCAGGAAGCAGAGACUGAAAGAGACCCCCAGAAAGCCAGCUUAGGAGUCUGCAUGAUAGGAUGGGAAUGAAUAUAGGACAAGAAGGAAAUGUUCCAUUUCAGAUUUCCUCCCGGGGAAAAACCGUUCCGAGGAAAUACUUUGAUAAGCAGCCUGUGGUGUGGGGGCAAAAUUCCAGGAGCACGCACAAGUAAUAAGGACGGCAGACACACGUCCUUCUGAGCCCUGGAGGAUGCUCUGCUUCAUGGGAUUUGGGUUUGGGAGUUGGAGAGCAGGACUGAGGAAAGAGCUGGGAAGCUUGGCACAAAGAGGAGAGCGAUUCUGGAUCCUGAUAUGAUGAAGAGCCAGGUGUCCGGGCACCGCACAGAGGACAACUGGGAAUGACCAGCAGUGGUCCCUGGUAAUCAGAAGUUUCUACUGAGGAUGCUAGAAAGUCACUGUGCUGUGGCCCAGGGCUCAUCCCAAGUGCCUUUCAGGGUAAGGACUUCUGGAGUGCAAGGGCGAUGUGCCCAAGUGCCUUUCAGGGUAAGGACUUCUGGAGUGCAAGGGUGAUGUCUCGAAUGACACGUGAGCAAAUACCUCCAGCACGCCUAGAAGCAGGGGCCAGGGGAUGAGGCAGAGCUGGCCUCAGGCUGCAGAAAGAACACAGGGUAGGAGAUAGAGGCUUGAGGGCAAGGCCCAGCUCUGCAGCUAAUGAUGUUUGAGACCCAGAAAAGCUCCUUCCCGCUCUCUGCUUUAUUCACUCAACCCUAAAAAGGGCUCAUGGCCUUUCAGCCCUAACAGUCUAUGACUCUGAUUUUAGUUCAACCCUCUCCUCAACACAGCAUGGGAAGGAGGGGGCUAUUAGCAGAGCAUGUGUGCAUUUACAUGGAAUGGGUUUGCUGCCACUCCAGCAUAACGAACUUUCUCACAGAUUACAUGUGCAAAGAACUGCUCAGAUUGAACUGUAAGAUCACUUCGGAUGCACUAUUGAUUUUCAUUAUUUUCGUUUUCUCCAUCCCUGAGUUCCCAGCAAUCAUCCCCCAGUUUGAUGUCACCCAGAAGAAAAAUCUUGGCCUCCUCUUUCUAAUAAUCAGUUCAUAAAGUAUCCUUCAAAGACAAUCUUCUGGGAGUUCCCAUCAUGGCUUAGUGGAAACAAGUCUGACUAGCAUCCAUGAGGACGCAGGUUCAAUCCCUGGCCUCACUCAGUGGGUUAAGGAUCUGGUGUUGCCAUGAGCUGUGGUGUAGGAUGCAGGCUCGACUUGGAUCUGGUGUGGCUGUGGUGUAGGCCAACAGCUACAGCUCCGAUUCAACCCCUUGCUUGGGAAUCUCCAUAUGUCGCGGGUGCAGCCCUAAAAAGACAAGGAAGGAAGGAAGGAAGGAAGGAAAAAAGGAAGGAAGGAAGAAAAGAAGGAAGGAAAUCUCUGUUAUGAAAAAAUUAUCCUGCAAGAGCACAAGGGUGUUUGGGGCCUAGUAUGACUAUCCAUCUGGGAGCGCUCAGCAGCCCUUCUCCUUCAAGGCUCUUCCAAUACCAACUUUCCCACACCUUUCCCCUUGUUUCCCUGCAGUGACCGAGCCAUACACCCUCUAAGCAGCACCAGUUCUCCAGAAGGGUAAGCAAGUUGGAUUUCUGGCAAAGGAGACCUCUUCUGACUUGGCAAGGGCUAUGCAGGGGACUGAGGGUCCUUUUCAGCCUUUCUCUGGAUCCAUUUUCAUCCUAGGCGAGAUGAGCUCUGCACACAAACACUGGGAUGUUACUGUCGGACACUGCUCUGCCUCUGUCAUUGAGGGGCAAUCACAGGUAGCUGUGCACAGAAUGACUUCAACGAUAGAGCAACAAGAUGCACAACUCCAAGGCUAUUUUUUUUUUUUUUUACAAAGAAUAAAAACGAAAACUAGAAAGACUGGCUCACCUAAAAAACGUUCAGGACAGUGGGAAAUACGUCAAGGGACUAUGAUGGAGGGAAAGACCACAGAGAAGGGCGACUCCAGGGCUUAAUGGGUUGGCCUUGGGGACCUGAGACAAUGCAUUCAUUCAUAGGUGUACAAAGGCCCAGUCACUGUCCUAGGUGCUGAAUCCCUACAUAGCCAAAAACAGCCCACAAGGUCCCUACUCUCCCAGCACUUACAGUCUGGUAAGGGGAAACCAACAAUUCAGUCGUAAACAUACCAUAGACAAGAUGACACAGAAAACUGUAAAUGCUGUGAAGAAAACCAAACAGGAUGGAGUGAUUGAGAGACACCGGCAGAGUCAGAGAGGCCUCUCGCAUAGCCUGAGUGUUUAGCCUCUUUUCAGAGGUGACCUUCAGUAGCGACCUGUGGACUGAGAUCAAGGCAGCCAUGCAAAGAUCAGAACAAGGGCAUUCUGAACAUCAACGACAGACCAUACAAAGGUCCAUCGGUGACUUCCAGGGCAGAAACGAGGUCUGUGUGGCUAACACACAGGAUUUUUGUUUGUUUGUUUUUGCUGUCUUAGAAGUUUAGGAGGCAAUGCCUAAGAAAUAUAAGUGCCAGGAGCACUCCACUCUGCACCAUGAGACACAUUUUCGCUUUUGUUUGCCUAUGAUGAUUUUUUUCUCCCCCUACUUCUUUAGAAAAACAAAUGCUGAGCAGAGGUUAGGAACAAAUCUUGGCAUAAAUGUAAACAUCUACUCUGUGGAGACACAAGCAAGAAAUGUGUUUGUUUCUAAUCUGCAAAAGGUAGGAGAGGCCUUAACUCAACUGUUUGCUGGGAGACCCAGACUUUACACGUAUCCCAGUGGGUCCUGAAGCCAACUUAAUGGAUCGUCCUCGUUGAGGAUUCUAGUGUCUUUGGUGGAAGCGAGUGAGCAAAAGCAAACUGAGAUAUUAGAAGAGGCAAAAUAUCUAAGAAGAGAAACUGCAGAUAGAGUCGAGGAAAUGAAUGGGCUGCCGGCAGCAAAUAUCACUUCCGUGAUUCCUGGGAAGGAAUCACGUGACUACCUUCAGUGCGCUAGCUUGCUGCGUGGAUGGCCUCUAAUGAGGCACAGUUUCUAACCAGUUGGAUUUCACAUUGCUCAGUGCCAGCUUGGUGAUUUGUUUUGCAUGAAACACUGCAGCCUGUUAACCCAGUGAGUUACAGUUCUAGGUAGGCAGCCAGAAUCUCUCACAGCCCUGAAACCCUUUUUUCUUAAAAUAAAAAGUGAUGAGGAUGAGGAGGAUGACAAUAAAGGAAAUGAGUUCAAUCAGGUUACCAUCUUGAAAUCUUGAACGAGUCAGGCUAAAAUGACCCAAAUAAUGGACCUCCUUUUUUUUUUUUUUUUAAUCUUUUCUGGAUCAUGCCAGGGAAGAGCUCGAUCCAUUUUUCAACGUUUCUCUGCCCUCUCUGCUCUUGUUGGGGAACGAGGCCUCUCCAUUUCUUUCCUUUCGGGCUCAAGAUAAUUUAGAGUUCUGGAGGAAGCAGGACACUUUGGGACUCUGGCCUGGGACAGACUGAGUGGUGAUGCUGAGGUGUGAGAAUUCAGGAGCAGAGGCAUCACACUUCAUUCAUCUCCACUGUACAAUGUAAAUGUUCUCCUGUGUGUGACACCACAAAAGCAGGCGUUUUCUUCUUUGCGAGAUGGAACAAGAACCAUCCCUAGCCAUAGUCGGUAUGGGGUCUCUCUUGCUGAUUCAAAUGAACUUAAAACCUUGGGCUGAGUGGAGUCUGAUCCCCUGCACCUGCCUCACUGAGCUGCAUCAGUGUCUGACGUUUACCAGGAAACCUCUGUGGUUCCUCUCUCCACAUUCCUCCUCCUCCUCCUGGAACAGAAGGGAACAGACAGAGUAUACUAGCUUUGAUACCAGGAAGGCAUGUCCCUGCUCCCUUUACAAGGGGACAUUUGAUGGAUAAAAUAGCUCACAUUCAAGCUUCCUCUCCAACAGGUCAGGACAAGACAACUCAGUGGUCACAAAUGGAAGGUAGAAGGUGGGUCUUGGUUUGCUGAGUUUCAGCUGCAACUGUUACCUCAACGGGAACUGUACAGAGCUAAUCCGAACACUGGCUCCAUCAAUGCAUGUAACUUAAAUGAC